rnacentral:rRNA from 1 species
AACGAACGCUGGCGGCAGGCCUAACACAUGCAAGUCGAACGCCCUAGCAAUAGGGAGUGGCGCACGGGUGCGUAACGCGUGGGAAUAUACCCUUCACUGCGGAAUAACGUUUGGAAACGAACGCUAAUACCGCAUAAUGACUCCGGUCCAAAGAUUUAUCGGUGAAGGAUUAGCCCGCGUUAGAUUAGCUAGUUGGUGAGGUAAUGGCUCACCAAGGCUACGAUCUAUAGCUGGUCUGAGAGGAUGAUCAGCCACACUGGGACUGAGACACGGCCCAGACUCCUACGGGAGGCAGCAGUGAGGAAUAUUGGACAAUGGGGGGCAACCCUGAUCCAGCCAUGCCGCGUGAGUGAAGAAGGCCUUCGGGUUGUAAAGCUCUUUCAGUUGUGAAGAUAAUGACGGUAGCAACAGAAGAAGCCCCGGCUAAAUUCGUGCCAGCAGCCGCGGU